rnacentral:snRNA from 1 species
AUACUUCCUUUGCAGGGGCGAUACCAUGAUCAUGAAGGUGGUUCACCCAGAGCGAGGCAAAAAUAUACAAAAGUGCAAAAACCCAAACUCUGGUUGGACUUGAGCAAAUUGAAUAGGUGUGUAAACAGCCUUAAU